GACGAACGCUGGCGGCGUGCCUAAUACAUGCAAGUAGAACGCACAGUUUAUACCGUAGCUUGCUACACCAUAGACUGUGAGUUGCGAACGGGUGAGUAACGCGUAGGUAACCUGCCUGGUAGCGGGGGAUAACUAUUGGAAACGAUAGCUAAUACCGCAUAAUAUUGAUUAUUGCAUGAUAAUUGAUUGAAAGAUGCUAUUGCAUCACUACCAGAUGGACCUGCGUUGUAUUAGCUAGUAGGUGAGGUAACGGCUCACCUAGGCGACGAUACAUAGCCGACCUGAGAGGGUGAUCGGCCAAACUGGGACUGAGACACGGCCCAGACUCCUACGGGAGGCAGCAGUAGGGAAUCUUCGGCAAUGGACGAAAGUCUGACCGAGCAACGCCGCGUGAGUGAAGAAGGUUUUCGGAUCGUAAAGCUCUGUUGUAAGAGAAGAACGGGUGUGAGAGUGGAAAGUUCACACUGUGACGGUAGCUUACCAGAAAGGGACGGCUAACUACGUG
rnacentral:rRNA from 1 species